rnacentral:rRNA from 1 species
GACGAACGCUGGCGGCGUGCUUAACACAUGCAAGUCGAACGGAAAGGCCUGCUUUCCCUUGUGGAUUGCGGGUACUCGAGUGGCGAACGGGUGAGUAACACGUGAGUGAUCUGCCCCCAACUUGGGUAUAAGCCUGGGAAACUGGGUCUAAUUCUCGAUAGGACUGCAGGGUGGUGCCUGUGGUGGAAAACGAUUUUCUAGUGGUUGGGGAUGAGCUCGCGGCCUAGCAGCUUGUUGGUGGGGUAAUGGCCUACCAAGGCGGCGACGGGUAGCCGGCCUGAGAGGGUCGACGGCCACAUUGGGACUGGGAUACGGCCCAGACUCCUACGGGAAGCAGGAGUGGGGAAUAUUGGACAAUGGGCGGGAGCCUGAUGCAGCGACGCCGCGUGGGGGAUGACGGCCUUCGGGUUGUAAGCUCCUUUCGACCGCGAGGAAGCCACCUGGUUGGAAGGGUGGUGACGGUAGUGAUAGAAGAAGCACCGGCUAACUACGUG